rnacentral:rRNA from 1 species
UACGUAGGGUGCAAGCGUUGUCCGGAAUUAUUGGGCGUAAAGAGCUCGUAGGCGGUUUGUCGCGUCGGCUGUGAAAUCCCGAGGCUCAACCUCGGGCCUGCAGUCGAUACGGGCAAACUAGAGUGUGGUAGGGGAGACUGGAAUUCCUGGUGUAGCGGUGAAAUGCGCAGAUAUCAGGAGGAACACCGGUGGCGAAGGCGGGUCUCUGGGCCAAAAACUGACGCUGAGGAGCGAAAGCGUGGGGAGCGAACAGG